UUUAUUUCCGGUAAUAUCCCCUUACCAACAAAUUCACCCAUACAGAUUAGGGCAAACCUCUCUUCCUCAUCCUCCAAAUUCACCCAUACGAAUUAGCGCAAACCUCUCUUCCUCAUCGGACAUGGAGCGAACUCGUCUCUCUCGUCCUUACCAGUACUUACUCAAGAAAAUGAACAAAGAGCUUCCUUUUGCUGGAGCCCCUGCAAUCCUUACUUAUGGUGGAAAUAAGUGGAUUUUGUUUCAUGGUGGAGUUAAAACUAAAUACAAAUUUAAUACUGGAUAGAAAAUUUUUGCGGAUGAUAACAAUCUAAAAGAGGGGGAUGGACUUGUGUUUGAACUCUCAGAGUGAAACUCUGACAAAAUCGAAUUCGAAAUUCAUAGUUUAAGAGAAGAUUUUCCAGCUGAAUUGGUUCCUGAAGAUGUGGAGGGUAUAAACACUGAUAACCCAAUAAUAAUUCAUUAAAAACUUUAUCAUCUUUAGAAGAAAUUUCAAUUCAGUAAAAAAAACUUUAUCAAUUUCAUUAGUUUCAAUUUGAAAAAAUAAAAACUUUAUCAAUUCUAAUACUUUCAUGUCGGAUGUAUGCCUCAUUUUAUCAAUACUACUUUUUUGGGUUA